rnacentral:tRNA from 1 species
GAGGGUACAGCUCAGUGGUAAAGCACAUGCUUGGCAUGCACAAGAUCCUGGGUUAAAUUCUCAGUACCUCCA